CCCUUAGAUGUUCUGGGCCACACACGCGCUACACUGAAGGAGGCAGCGUGUACUCCUGGAUCGAAAGAUUUGGGUAACCCGCGAAUCUCCUUCGUGCUAGGGAUUGAGGUUUGCAAUUAUCCUUCAUGAACGAGGAAUUCCCAGUAAGUGCAAGUCAUAAGCUUGCGCUGACUACGUCCCUGCCCUUUGUACACACCGCCCGUCGCUCCUACCGAUUGAAUGGUCCGGUGAAGCGUUCGGACCGUGGCCUUUGGACGGUUCGCCGUCUGUUGGCUGCGGGAAGUUCGUUAAACCUUAUCAUUUAGAGGAAGGAGAAGUCGUAACA
rnacentral:rRNA from 1 species